CAAAAUCCAGGCAAUUAUUGACUAGAGGCCUCAAUCAACCGUGUCGCAGUACAGGAUGGAAGAGGCGCGCUGCAUUCGCUCUUGAGUGGGACUCAUACUCGGAUAGCAUGAAUGAGAGGGCGGACCCUUGUGUCGUUUUCCAGGCUGCAAUGGCAGAACCACGAACAACAAGCUCAUUGAAAGUUAGUAAAGAUGCCCUCGUAGCCAGGUCAAGUUCUGUGAUGCGGUCGGUCCUCCUCACCCCGAGAAGUGUUCUGCAUGUGUAAUUUAACACCACUUGUGUUGCAGCAUCUAUAGCAUCUACAACUGAGAUCAGGCCAUGUGGGUGAAGAUGGGCUGCAAGCGUGAUCCAGGCAACACAUUGCAGUUUAUCAAUUAUCAGGGCACGUGCUAUCUUUGUCAGAAGGCGUCCCUGUGAUAUACGUAAUGCUGACUGUCUGAUUGCCCCCAAGAUGAUCGGUGCCAAUAUUGAUCCUUGCGGUACGCCAGAGUACAGAGGCCACAACACGAGGUACACCUUCUUGGGCCGGAGCAAUGCAAAUAACACCAAGAAAGGCAAGCAAAUAGGGACCCAGACCUAGUCUUUUAUGAAGUUUUCAACGUUCAAGUUGGUAUCGACACCCAAAACUACGACCUAAUGCCGGCUGGAGCAAUCAUCAGCGUGGAAUCAAUGAGCAUGAUGGCCGUAGUGGAUAGAGGGGCACAAGCCCACGUCAUGCCCCUCAGGAUCCUUCCAAACAAGCUCAGAGGGACCCUGAUAGCAACCAGGAUGAAUAUGCGGCCAUUUGGAUACAAGCUUAUCCUAUCAGAGGGCAUCGUCCAAGCCAAAACCUCCUGUCAAGGCUCUAAAUCCCAAAAUGAGUUGACUGUGAUCGACGACCAGACAAUGGGCAGGCCAAUUGACCCAAUUAUCUCCAAGGCCAUUGCGCCAGAACUCGGCAUGAUCAAGCUAAAUCCAAAGCUCGUUCCAUUUUAUAAACCCAAUGACCUAACCUGUCCUCUGACUAAUAAACACUCCAAAUAUUAUUGUGUCGCAUUACAAUCUACCUGGUGAAAUGACGACAAAGUCAACCACCCAGUGGUUCAAACACACCGAAUUCCACGCCUGUUUCACGGGCCUCGGCCUCCUAAAAGGUCACAGUGCCUUGCUCUUUCGAAAACCAAAACCCAAAUUGCUCCAUCUCAUAACCCUUCAUUCCACCUUCAAGGCCUAGUUCAAGCUGUGUCUACCAUGAUCCAGAAUGGGGUGGUAGAUCCGCACACAGGACCGGCUGAUUGGAUAUCAAACCUCGCAGAGAUGGUCGUAAAUAACGGCUCACUACGCAUCACAGUCAACCCUACCGGGACUCAACUCGGAGUUACGGCACACAUGAAUACCCAUCCCUCCUCAUGAAAGUAUUAGAGCUAAGGUGGUGGGGUGCACUGUAGUUUCGUAGUUGAACUUUACUCAAGCCUUCCUACCAACUAGAAUCGGACCCCAUGUCUAGGCAAAUGAUGCCCACUAAGUAAUGAUCCCAUUGCAGAUUUUUAGUGCCAAUCCAUUGUGGUAGUGCAUAUUCUAAAAAUUGAUUUGGCAAGAGGCUAUCAUCAAAUUCCAAUGACCGAGGAUGAUAUGACAAUUACCGUGGUAUUCACAUCAUUCAGUCUUGAGAACUUUUUGCAAAUACCUACUAACUUCCCAAC